rnacentral:rRNA from 1 species
AACGAACGCUGGCGGCAUGCCUAACACAUGCAAGUCGAACGAGACCUUCGGGUCUAGUGGCGCACGGGUGCGUAACGCGUGGGAACCUGCCCUUAGGUUCGGAAUAAAUCCCCGAAAGGGGUGCUAAUACCGGAUAAUGUCUUCGGACCAAAGAUUUAUCGCCUUUGGAUGGGCCCGCGUUGGAUUAGCUAGUUGGUAGGGUAAAAGCCUACCAAGGCGACGAUCCAUAGCUGGUCUGAGAGGAUGAUCAGCCACACUGGGACUGAGACACGGCCCAGACUCCUACGGGAGGCAGCAGCGGGGAAUAUUGGACAAUGGGCGAAAGCCUGAUCCAGCAAUGCCGCGUGAGUGAUGAAGGCCUUAGGGUUGUAAAGCUCUUUUACCCGGGAUGAUAAUGACAGUACCGGGAGAAUAAGCUCCGGCUAACUCCGUG